rnacentral:lncRNA from 1 species
CUUCAUCAACUUCAUUCCUGAGUCAUACUUACUUAAUAAACAAGACAAGAUCAACAACAAGAAAGGUGGAAGAACACAGCUGGUUUACCUGCACAGGAGCUAAAUACUUUGCAAUUCCAUUGGCUGAGCGCAACACCAAGAGGCUGACUAAGAGGAGCACACAUGCACAACUGCUGCGUGGGAAACAGGAUGGCAGCGA